GUCUUUUUGAGUUAUUUUUAAAGUCUGACCUGCCCACUGAAUUUAUUUUGAAUGGCCGCAGUAUUCUAACUGUGCAAAGGUAGCAUAAUCAUUAGUCUUUUAAUUGAAGGCUGGUAUGAACGGUUGGACGAGGUAUAAGCUGUUUCAUAUAAAUUUAUAAUAGAAUUUUAUAUUUUAGUCAAAAAGCUAAAAUGUAAUUAAAAGACGAGAAGACCCUAUAAAUCUUUAUAAUUUAUAUAAUUUAAAUUUUUUGGAUUUGUUUUAUUUUUAUUGUAUAAAUUAUUUUGUUGGGGUGAUGUUAAAAUUUAAUGAACUUUUAAUUGAAUUUAAAUCAUUAAUUUAUGAAUUAUUGAUCCAUUAGUAGUGAUUAUAAGAUUAAGUUACUUUAGGGAUAACAGCGUAAUUUUUUUGGAGAGUUCAUAUCGAUAAAAAAGUUUGCGACCUCGAUGUUGGAUUAAGAUAUAAUUUUAGGUGUAGCCGCUUAAAUGUUAAGUCUGUUCGACUUUUAAAUUCUU
rnacentral:rRNA from 1 species